AGCGGGAGGAAAGAACCAACCGGGAUUGCCUUAGUAACGGCGAGUGAAGCGGCAAAAGCUCAAAUUUGAAAUCUGGCGUCUUCGACGUCCGAGUUGUAAUUUGAAGAAGGCGACUUUGUAGCUGGUCCUUGUCUAUGUUCCUUGGAACAGGACGUCAUAGAGGGUGAGAAUCCCGUGUGGCGAGGAUCCCAGUUAUUUGUAAAGUGCUUUCGACGAGUCGAGUUGUUUGGGAAUGCAGCUCUAAGUGGGUGGUAAAUUCCAUCUAAAGCUAAAUAUUGGCGAGAGACCGAUAGCGAACAAGUACAGUGAUGGAAAGAUGAAAAGAACUUUGAAAAGAGAGUGAAAAAGUACGUGAAAUUGUUGAAAGGGAAGGGCAUUUGAUCAGACAUGGCGUUUGCUUCGGCUUUCGCUGGGCCAGCAUCAGUUUUAGCGGUUGGAUAAAUCCUCGGGAAUGUGGCUCUGCUUCGGUAGAGUGUUAUAGCCCGUGGGAAUACAGCCAGCUGGGACUGAGGAUUGCGACUUUUGUCAAGGAUGCUGGCGUAAUGGUUAAAUGCCGCCCGUCUUGAAACACGGACCUCCUGUGUGAAGGGAUUCCGCUA
rnacentral:rRNA from 1 species